rnacentral:rRNA from 1 species
UACGUAGGGGGCAAGCGUUAUCCGGAUUUACUGGGUGUAAAGGGGGCGCAGACGGCGAUGCAAGCCAGGAGUGAAAGCCCGGGGCCCAACCCCGGGACUGCUCUUGGAACUGCGUGGCUGGAGUGCAGGAGGGGCAGGCGGAAUUCCUGGUGUAGCGGUGAAAUGCGUAGAUAUUAGGAGGAACACCAGUGGCGAAGGCGGCCUGCUGGACUGCAACUGACGUUGAGGCUCGAAGGCGUGGGGAGCAAACAGG